rnacentral:pre_miRNA from 1 species
AUCACCAGGAAUCUUGUUAAAAUAAAGAUUCUGGUCAGAAGGUCUUAAGUGGGACUGAGAAUCUUCAUUUCUAACAGGCUCCCAAGUGAUGCUAA